CCUACGGGAGGCUGCAGUGGGGAAUCUUGGACAAUGGGCGAAAGCCUGAUCCAGCCAUGCCGCGUGUGUGAAGAAGGCCUUCGGGUUGUAAAGCACUUUCAGUGGGGAAGAAAGCCUUGGGGCUAAUACCCUCGAGGAAGGACAUCACCCACAGAAGAAGCACCGGCUAACUCCGUGCCAGCAGCCGCGGUAAUACGGAGGGUGCGAGCGUUAAUCGGAAUUACUGGGCGUAAAGCGCGCGUAGGCGGUCUGAUAAGCCGGUUGUGAAAGCCCCGGGCUCAACCUGGGAACGGCAUCCGGAACUGUCAGGCUAGAGUGCAGGAGAGGAAGGUAGAAUUCCCGGUGUAGCGGUGAAAUGCGUAGAGAUCGGGAGGAAUACCAGUGGCGAAGGCGGCCUUCUGGACUGACACUGACGCUGAGGUGCGAAAGCGUGGGUAGCAAACAGGAUUAGAUACCCGUGUAGUC
rnacentral:rRNA from 1 species